rnacentral:rRNA from 1 species
UUGCUGUGGUGGAUUAGUGGCGAACGGGCGAGUAACACGUGAGUAACCUGUCCUUUUCUUUGGGAUAACGGCUGGAAACGGCUGCUAAUACUGGAUAUUCAGGCUGCAUCGCAUGGUGUGGUUUGGAAAGGUUUUUUCUGGGAUUGGGUGGGCUCGCGGCCUAUCAGCUUGUUGGUGGGGUGAUGGCUUACCAAGGCUUUGACGGGUAGCCGGCCUGAGAGGGUGGUCGGUCGCACUGGGACUGAGAUACGGCCCAGACUCCUACGGGAGGCAGCAGUGGGGAAUAUUGCACAACGGACGAAAGUUUGAUGCAGCGACGCCGCGUGGAGGGUGUAGGCCUUCGGGUUGUGAACUCCUUUUUCUCGCGAAAAAGGCACAGUUUUGGCUGUGUUGAUGGU